rnacentral:rRNA from 1 species
CACGUAGGGGGCAAGCGUUGUCCGGAUUUAUUGGGCGUAAAGAGCUCGUAGGCGGUUCGGUAAGUCGGGUGUGAAACCUCCAGGCUCAACCUGGAGACGCCACCCAAUACUGCUGUGACUAGAGUCCGGUAGGGGAGCGUGGAAUUCCUGGUGUAGCGGUGAAAUGCGCAGAUAUCAGGAGGAACACCGGUGGCGAAGGCGGGUCUCUGGGCCGUAACUGACGCUGAGGAGCGAAAGCAUGGGGAGCGAACAGG